rnacentral:rRNA from 1 species
UACGUAGGGGGCAAGCGUUGUCCGGAAUCAUUGGGCGUAAAGCGCGUGUAGGCGGCUCGGUAAGUCUGCUGUGAAAGUCCAGGGCUCAACCCUGGGAUGCCGGUGGAUACUGUCGAGCUCGAGUCCGGAAGAGGCGAGUGGAAUUCCCGGUGUAGCGGUGAAAUGCGCAGAUAUCGGGAAGAACACCCGUGGCUAAGGCGGCUCUCUAGUACGGUACUGACGCUGAGACGCGAAAGCGUGGGGAGCGAACAGG